AGAAUGACUAAGAAAGCUAGUGACUCAGAAGCCGGGGAGAGGCUGUCUGCCGAGCUGGACGGAUCAAGGGAGUGAGAUGGGUCGGUGGAAAAAGAAAUCAAGAGAGGAAAGAGAAGAAGCAGACAGAAGACUCAAAGGCCAGCCCCAAAACAGACGAUGGAAGAUCCCGGCCUGGUUCCGCAGGCAUCGAGCCCCCCAGAGUGCUGCUGCUCCUCCGGCAGGAAGCUCUGGAGGAUUCUCACAGCUGGUCUUGGAGGGCCGCUUCCUGGAAGCCUGUCGGAGCAUCUCAUCCUCAGCGGAGGAAAGGCAGGACCGUGGCUGCCAGUACCAGGCCGUGGCCCGGGGCUGGGGCAGGGCGCCCACGCAGGCACUGGAGGGCGGCGGAGGCGGCCGGGAGCUGCAGAGGAAGCUCAGCUGCAGACACGGCUGAGGAAUGACGCUGAGAACCGGGUGCCCCCGAGCCCCAGAGACCGAGUGCCCCUGAACCCGCGGGACCAGCUGGGCAGGUACUUGGUGGAGCUGGCCGAGGCCAUGGAUCGUGGCCUGGGCCCCCAGAGGGCAGCCCGGCUGGGAGCCUGCCUCUCGGCGACCGACAGAGAAUGCUUCCAGGAGGGGUGCUCCUGA
rnacentral:lncRNA from 1 species